rnacentral:rRNA from 1 species
AUGUGUUUACCAAAAGAUCAAGGAGAUAUUGGUUUUUGAGAUAUACACUGCUUCAAUCUGGCUUUGUUAGCCAAACAAGCGUGACGUCUGCUUGAUAAUCCUGAUUCUCUAUGUGCGAAUAUCUUGAGAGCUAAAUAUUUUCCGGGGGGGCUAAAUAUUUUCUGGGGUAUCUACGGUUACACAUGGUCGGUUUCCAUCUAG